AUUGAACGCUGGCGGCAGGCUUAACACAUGCAAGUCGAGCGGGGGAAGGUAGCUUGCUACCGGACCUAGCGGCGGACGGGUGAGUAAUGCUUAGGAAUCUGCCUAUUAGUGGGGGACAACAUCUCGAAAGGGAUGCUAAUACCGCAUACGUCCUACGGGAGAAAGCAGGGGAUCUUCGGACCUUGCGCUAAUAGAUGAGCCUAAGUCGGAUUAGCUAGGUGGUGGGGUAAAGGCCUACCAAGGCGACGAUCUGUAGCGGGUCUGAGAGGAUGAUCGGCCACACUGGGACUGAGACACGGCCCAGACUCCUACGGGAGGCAGCAGUGGGGAAUAUUGGACAAUGGGGGGAACCCUGAUCCAGCCAUGCCGCGUGUGUGAAGAAGGCCUUAUGGUUGUAAAGCACUUUAAGCGAGGAGGAGGCUACUUUAGUUAAUACCUAGAGAUAGUGGACGUUACUCGCAGAAUAAGCACCGGCUAACUCUGUGCCAGCCGCCGCCGUAA
rnacentral:rRNA from 1 species